rnacentral:rRNA from 1 species
GACGAACGCUGGCGGCGUGCUUAACACAUGCAAGUCGAACGCAGUGGCGAACGGGUGAGUAACGCGUAAUCAACCUGCUCUUCAGAGGGGGACAACAGUUGGAAACGACUGCUAAUACCGCAUACUGAAGGAGGGGCUUGCGUCUGAUUAGCUAGUUGGAGGGGUAACGGCCCCCCAAGGCGAUGAGCAGUAGGCGGUCGGUGAGGGUGGACGGCCACAGUGGGAAUGGGACACGGCCCAGAAUCCUCAGGGAGGCAGCAGGGGGGAAGCUUCCGCAAUGGACGAAAGUCUGACGGAGCAACGCCGCGGGAGUGGUGACGGGCUUCGGGUUGUAAAGCUCUUUUAAUCGGGACGCGGUACCGGAAUAGAAAGCCACGGCUAACUACGUGCCAGCAGCCGCGGUAAUAC